rnacentral:rRNA from 1 species
GAAUAUUGGACAAUGGGGGCAACCCUGAUCCAGCAAUGCCGCGUGUGUGAAGAAGGCCUUCGGGUUGUAAAGCACUUUUAUCAGGAAAGAAAUCCGUUGGGUUAAUACCCUGGCGGGAUGACGGUACCUGAGGAAUAAGCACCGGCUAACUUCGUGCCAGCAGCCGCGGUAAUACGAAGGGUGCAAGCGUUAAUCGGAAUUACUGGGCGUAAAGGGUGCGUAGGCGGCCUGUUAAGUUGGAUGUGAAAGCCCCGGGCUCAACCUGGGAAUGGCAUCUGAUACUGGCAGGCUGGAGUGCGGUAGAGGGUGGUGGAAUUCCCGGUGUAGCGGUGAAAUGCGUAGAGAUCGGGAGGAACAUCUGUGGCGAAGGCGGCCACCUGGACCAGCACUGACGCUGAGGCACGAAAGCGUGGGGAGCAAACAGG